rnacentral:rRNA from 1 species
GUGGGGAAUAUUGGACAAUGGGCGAAAGCCUGAUCCAGCCAUGCCGCGUGUGUGAAGAAGGUCUUCGGAUUGUAAAGCACUUUAAGUUGGGAGGAAGGGCAGUAAGUUAAUACCUUGCUGUUUUGACGUUACCGACAGAAUAAGCACCGGCUAACUUCGUGCCAGCAGCCGCGGUAAUACGAAGGGUGCAAGCGUUAAUCGGAAUUACUGGGCGUAAAGCGCGCGUAGGUGGUUUUGUAAGUUGGAGGUGAAAUCCCCGGGCUCAACCUGGGAACUGCCUCCAAAACUGGAUGACUAGAGUACGGUAGAGGGUAGUGGAAUUUCCUGUGUAGCGGUGAAAUGCGUAGAUAUAGGAAGGAACACCAGUGGCGAAGGCGACUACCUGGACUGAUACUGACACUGAGGUGCGAAAGCGUGGGGAGCAAACAGGAUUAGAUACCCGGGUAGUCC